CCGUGAACCCGCUUUCUCUCCCAAGUUCAUAUUCUGUGCAUUUGCAACACCGAAAUGACUCUGCCAAAGCAAUUUCUUUUUUCUACUCUAUCCAUAUUAAUCUGUUUUAGAAAAUCCUUCCCCCAGAGCCCAACUUUUACUCCAUAUUAAUUUGGCUUUUGUUGCCCAGGCUCCCUUGCCUGGUACUCCUGCCAGCUCGCCGCCGGCUCUGCAUCCAGGUCGCUCCAUGCUGCCUUUUCUUCUGUGAGACCUUGCAGCUAGCUCUCCUUUGUGUGUUGUUUCUCAUCCUGACCUCAUGUUCUGGUUCCACAAAAGGCAUGGCAGAAUAAAUGAUUGGACAGAUAACUGAAGUUUUAUCUCCGGUCCUGGCCCCCUUCUCAGACGUUAGUAGUGGGUAGCCAUUCCAGCCUUGGUCUGGAA